UACGUAGGGUGCAAGCGUUGUCCGGAAUUAUUGGGCGUAAAGAGCUCGUAGGCGGUUUGUCGCGUCGAAUGUGAAAACCCGGGGCUCAACUCCGGGCCUGCAUUCGAUACGGGCAGACUAGAGUUCGGUAGGGGAGACUGGAAUUCCUGGUGUAGCGGUGAAAUGCGCAGAUAUCAGGAGGAACACCGGUGGCGAAGGCGGGACUCUGGGCCGAUACUGACGCUGAGGAGCGAAAGCGUGGGGAGCGAACAGG
rnacentral:rRNA from 1 species